AUUCCAGAGAACGUAAAGUUGGAGUCAGAUUUCAGGGUUGAAGAACAAAUCUCUAUAGGUAAGAUUCUAACCCCUAGUUUAAUAUUUUAGAUUUAUUGAUUAAUUUCAAACACAUUAGAUAUAUUUUUUGGAAAACCCCAAAUCUAGAUUAGGGUUAGAUUAUUUUUUUUUAAUUCAUUUUAAUAUCAAAUAGUGAAAAUUUAAUACUUUGAUUUUAGUAUUGGAAUUUGGGAGAUCUUAAGUUUUAUUAAAAAAAAAAAAAAAAAAUUCCUUGGAAUAUUUCGAUUUUAGGUUAGGGUUAUUAAAAAAAAAAAAAAAAAAAAAGAAAGAAAGAAGAAGAACGCGUGAGCCCUGAAGGAAGGAAGGAAAAAAAAAAUAAUAAUAAUAAGAAUGGGGGCGUACCCGUACUGGGCUACUGGAAGCAUGGCAAAAAUAAAAAAAAAAAACCCCAGGGGCGUGGCAGUGCUAUGGAGGCUUUUGGGUGUAUAUAUAUAUAUAUAUAUAUAUAUAUAUAUAUAUAUAUAUAUAUAUAUAUAUAGAUAGAUAUAGAUAUAAUGAACCAUUAGGCAAAAAAAAAAAAACAAACAAAAACUUGCUUUUUGGUGUGUACCCGAAAUGAGGAAGGGUUGGGUGGCUUUUGAAUUGAUUAAUUAAAAAAAAAAUAUUUAUUUUUAGAUUUAUAAUUAAGAUAAUAGUAAUAAUAGAUUUAGCCAUAUAUAUAUAUAUAUAUAUAUAUAUAUAUAUAUAUAUAUACAGGAGUUUUAUAAAAAAACAAAAUUGUAAUUUCACUUAAUUACAACGGGGUGAUUAAAAAAUAAUUUGGGAAUUUUAUUAGUUUUUUUUUAAACAGGGAAAAGAUUAGUUGAACUUAUACAUAAUAGUUACAAUUGGUUUCCUCUCAUGUUNNNNNNNNNNNNNNNNNNNNNNNNNNNNNNNNNNNNNNNNNNNNNNNNNNNNNNNNNNNNNNNNNNNNNNNNNNNNNNNNNNNNNNNNNNNNNNNNNNNNGGAAAUUGUUUUUAAAAAUUUAAUUGGUUAAUUAAUUAAUUUAAUAAAGGGGAGGGGGGGGAAAUGGGUAAUUUUUCGAAUAAAUCCCCUGGGUAUAAAUUAGAAAUUUUUUUUUUUCCCUUUUUUUUUGAAUAGAGUUCCUGUUCGCAAAAUUCCAGGGAACGUAAAGUUGGGGUCGGUUUUCGGGGUUGAAGAACAAAUCUUUUUAGGUAAGAUUUUAACCCCUAGUUUAAUUUUUUAGAUUUUUUGAUUAAUUUCAAACCCUUUAGAUUUUUUUUUUGGAAAACCCCAAAUUUGGAUUGGGGUUGGAUUUUUUUUUUUUAAUUCUUUUUAAUAUCAAAUAGGGAAAAUUUAAUACUUUGAUUUUUGUUUUGGAAUUUGGGGGUUUUUAAUUUUUUUUAAAAAAAAAAAAAAAAAAUUCCUUGGAAUUUUUUGAUUUUUGGUUGGGGUUUUUAAAAAAAAAAAAAAAAAAAAAAAAAAAAAAAAAAAAAAAAAAAAAAGAAAAAAGAAGAAGAAGAAGAAGAAGAACGCGUGAGCACUGAAGGAAGGAAGGAAAAAAAAUAAUAAUAAUAAUAAGAAUGGGGGCGUACGCGUACUGGGCUACUGGAAGCAUGGCAAAAAUAAAAAAAAAUAAAAACUCCAGGGGGCGUGGCAGUGCUAUGGAGGCUUUUGUAUAUAUAUAUAUAUAUAUAUAUAUAUAUAUAGAUAUAGAUAUAAUGAACCAUUAGGCAAAAAAAAAAAAAAAAAAACAAACAAAAACUUGCUUUUUGGUGUGUACCCGAGAUGAGGAAUGGUUGGGUGGCUUUUGAAUUGAUUAAUUAAAAUAAUAAUAUUUAGUUUUAGAUUUAUAAUUAAGAUAAUAGUAAUAAUAGAUUUAGCAAUAUAUAUAUAUAUAUAUAUAUAGAGUUUUAUAAUAAAAUAAAAUUGUAAUUUAAUUAAAUUAGUAGUGUGUUAUUAGAAAUAAAUUGGGAAUUUAUUAGUUUUAUUUAAAUAAGGAUUAGUUAAAUUAUAAAUAAAUAGUAAUAAUUGUUUCUCUUAUGUUAUAUUAGGUGAAGAGUAGAUUAUAUUUUUUUCAGAAUUAUUCUUCUCCCAAGCUUUCAAGGACUUCUUUUGAGGUAAGGGAAGUUAAUGCAAUAUUUAUAAAAUUAAAUUAUUUUAUAUGUUAUUUUGAAUUGUGGAAAAGAAAAUGAUAUUUUGUUACCAUGCAUGGAUCAAAUUGUUUUGCACUAAAUAUUAUGUUGGAAUAUUUUGUUUUAUUUAUGACACAAAAUAUGGAGAUAUUAUGUUGUGUAAAUUUGAAUACUUGAACAAAAACAUCACUCUGAUCUAUUUGGCCCUUGUCAACGGGAUAUAAUAGUUGACUAUUCGGCCCUGUCAACGGGAUAUAAUAGUUGACCUUUACAUUUCAUGGUGGGAAUGUAAUUGAUUUGGACCCCAGCCUCUAGGGGUUUGGUUAGAGGUUACUAGUACUAGUAGUGUUUGGUUCCGUCCACCCGGAACAAUUUGAGGCUAGCCACCCAUUUGAAAAGUCCCACCUAACUGGGCAUUUGAUAUUUGAUAACCAGAGUAAUAAAACUUGAAUGAAUUUGAUUGAAUCUUAUGUGAAAGUGUUUGAAUUUGAUAUGAAAUUGGUUGGUUGAAUUUUGAAUAUAUUGGUAUUUUUGGAACUCUGAUAUUUGAUGAGAAAAAAAAAAAUUGAUAUCUCCUAUUUGAAAUGAAAAUAUUUGAUCCAUGAAUUGCAUUAAUAUUCCUUAUUGGGCUGUGAGCUCAUUCCCAAUUGUUGAAAAUUUUUCAGGUACUCUUAGUUCGGGUGAGGAGUGAUGGCUAGGCUGAGGAAUGGUCAUCAUUAGGAUUUGACUUAGGAUUUUAUGUUGGAUUUUGUUUAACUAUUAGUUAUGUUAUUUUGGAUCAUUUGAUAUUUGGAAGUUAUUUGGAAAUUGAAUUUUGAGGAUUUUAGAUUUUGUUUCCGCUACUCUGAGCAGGUAUUUGGUAAUUGGUAACAUCCAGUUACAAUAUGACUGUUUGGGUCAGAUUAUACUUUAAGCCUUCGGGUUUGAGGUGUGAAAUGACCGUCACGCCCUUGGAGUG
rnacentral:lncRNA from 1 species